UAGGCACUGGUCUCCAGGAUGGAGGUUGUGUGCCUACACCUCUGCGUGCUCACGCUUCCGUCGGCAGGUUCCUGCAGUGACGUGAGAAGGACGUCCAGCUUCAGGCUCCAGCCAGGCGCUUUAGCCCUGGGCUGUGUGGCUUCUUGGAUAAGGUCCGACGACUGCAUCGCAUGGCUUUAGAAUCACGAUUCCAUGAUGCCAUGCUCUCAUGAAUGGUCCCAAACAGAAGGUCCCCAGUAAACAGCAGGACAGGUCACGUGCCCCGCACAGUUGUGCGGGCCCACUGAGCCCCCCCAACACCUGCAUUUCGUGUCUGUAAGGACUACAUGCCAUGCCCUUCUUAAACCUCAGGGAAUGGCUCAGGUGGGCAGAACUUGAGCAGGUGGGCCUGCAGGGGCAUUUGGGAUUAAACACACCUGGGCACGGCAUCUGAGGGACUUGGGAGAAGGCAGGACACAAGUUUGCCCUCAGUUUCUCAGAGCUUUCACCUCCUCCCUUCUCUCAUCUCCCUCCUUUCUCCCCACCCCAAGGUCUGUAAAGGGACUCAAGGCUUCCUGCCCCUUCUUCCAGGCUCUAAAGAAAGAGCAGUAAGUAGACAGGUGCAAUCCAUCUGAGCGUAGAAACGCUUUGGCAGCAAUGCAGAGCGUAAUCCUGCAGGGAAAAGCCACCAUAUCUACAAAAGCUCUCCAGAAUGAAGAGGAUUCUGCAGUUAACCACGUACCUCUUUACUGAGAAGAGAACCUGGAUGAACCAGGACGAGGUAAUGAAAAGAAGCUAUGGACACAAACAUACCCCGUUGCAAAUACCUUUCCUCCGCCUCCGGAUGGACCAGUCUGCUGACCCCGUGCGUGAGCUCUGACUUCUGGCCUCCAGAACCAUGAGACAGUACGGUCCUGUGUGCCCCCCAUUUGUGGUACUUUGUUAUGAAGCCCUUGGAAACGAAUGCUGAGAUGUCAAGGAAACGCCUGAAGAUUAAAACGCCCCGAGGAUCAGCCAUCAGGCUGGGCCUCUGACUCCCGCGCAAGGUCACCUCCUUGCUGAGGCAGAAAGGCGCCCCCACCGCGGCGGCGGCCUCCGUGUGGAGUCGCAGGUGCCCGAAGCCCUUCAACAGGACACGAAGCGACGUCCUGAAUGUUGGAAGGAAAGCUACCGACAGGGAAGGCGACGCCUCGGAGGCUGCGCGCCAAGGGUCGUCGCCGGGUGGAAAUGAUCAAAGGAGGAGAAGGGAGGAAAACUUGGCACCUGCCAAAGGCGGGUGCGUUCUUGGGGUGUUCCUCUUCCCAGGGCAGCCAUUCCUCCAUGUCUGGUUGUUUUAUACGGUUUCGCGUGUUUUAACAGCAACUCAAGCUCCCGUUCCCGUGUGAGUGAUUUGGUAGCUUGCAUAACGAAGCCACCACCAGGCAGAACCAUCCAGCUCAAGGCUCCACGUUUGACCUUGGAUCUGCUCCGUGGUCCUGGAUUACAGGCUCUACACGAGAAGGCACUUUGUAAUACUUUUGGAAUUGGCUUCAAGGUCGGGGUGCCCCGUGUUCAUUGUCAUUCUUUUGUUCGUAUGUUUUUUUGAGCUCCUAGGAUAGGCUAUGCACUUGGCUGCUGCUAAAUUUUGGGUGAAGAUUUAGAAGUUAGCUCUUUGGGCAGAGAUGAAAGGCAGGGCCCUGCAGUUAUGGACGCUCUGGCCCAGCUAAAAUUAAGGUGUCCGCGGGGUGUGCCUCCAGGGCAGGCUUGGGAGAACCAUUUGUCUUGCCUUUUCCAGCCUCUAGAGGACGCUCCUGGGUCUCCCUCCAUCUUCAAAGGCAGGAGUGGCUGGUCCAAGCCUUUCCUCUGACGCCAUUUCCCUGCAUCUGGUGCCUCUGCCUCCCGCUUCCCUGACUAAAGACCCUGGUAAUUACACUGGGCCCUCCCUUAGGUCAAGGCCAUCUGCCUGGCGACCCCAAUUCUUCCCUGACACAAACCACAACAGACUCCCAGGCUCCGGAGACCAGGAAGUGGCACGUUUGGGGCCAUUAUGCCGCUUAAGGCAAUGCUAGAAUCAGUCACUUCCUGAAUUAUGCGAUGCCAGGGGUCUUUACAAAGAAAACAUUCAGUUGUUAAAAUUCAUGUCUUUCGAAUCUGUUGUUGAGAGUUUAGAAUA